rnacentral:rRNA from 1 species
UUUGUCCACUAAUUAUGGACCCGUAUGAAAGGCCACAUGAGAAUCUAACUGUCUCUUGUAACCAAUUUAUAAAACUGAUCUUCCAGUCCAAAAGCUGGAAUUAUACUAUAAGACGAGAAGACCCUGUGAAGCUUAAAAAACCCCAUUAAACUAAUUUAAUGGGUAUUUUUAGUUGGGGCAACUUUGGAAAACAACAUAACUUCCAAAAAGGAAACACUCCUUACCAAGACCAACAAGUCAAUAAAGACCCAGUAUAACUGACAAAUGAACCAAGUUACUCCAGGGAUAACAGCGCAAUCUUCUUCAAGAGCCCAUAUCAAAAAGAAGGUUUACGACCUCGAUGUUGGAUCAGGACACCCAAAUGGUGCAGCCGCUAUUAAAGGUUCGUUUGUUCAACGAUUAACAGU